ensembl:lncRNA
GUGUGUAUGUGUGUGCGGUUUUGGGUGCGUGAAUGUGUGAAUGGGUGCCUGAGCACACGUGCUAGAGAGAUAUUCUGCCGGACCGAAAGCGUAUGUUUACCUAAGAGUAUGUAGCCUACACUUUCCAGACUAAUGUAUGGAACAAAGACAUACCACUGUCACUCUGUGACGCUGGCUCUGUGUCUCUUCAGCAUUACAACGGCAUGGGAAUGUCUCAGAGGCCCGGAGAACACAGUGCUAGACUGUGGAACACGGAGCAAGGACAUUCCACAUAGACAAAGAGGAACUGAAGGAAAACUCUGCCUCGGAAAAAACGUGUAUCUUGGCCGAAAGACACCGUCCGGCCCUGCAGUAGUAAAAACAAUUUUUUCACCGUAUAGCAAGUCCAAGUGAGUUGAAUUCUGUAUUAGUAUUGGUUAUUUUUUCCUUGGACCCCUCUCACACAAAAGGCGGCUAAUGUCUCUAUCAAAAUUAAAAUGGUUGAUUGACUGCAUGGGUUUAACCCCCGCUUCUCCACUGAAGCUCAUCUUUCAGAGAGCAGGAGUGACUGGAAGCGAGAGCAGGGGGCGGUAUACAGGAUUACUGAAGCACGUUAGGCUACUGAUGAGGGGACAUUCCACAGAGGGACCCCUCGCCUUUUCACUGCCUUGUCCAAGCGGAGCAGCGGAGAUAUGGACCAUGGAAAAAGGCUCUGAAAUAAAUAAGACAAAGUGACUGCUAGACAAAGAGAGGCAGAGGAGGAGGCUGGUGGGGAGAUGAAGAGGGAAAGAGACUAUCAAGGAGGAGAGUUGUGCAAUUUCCAUGAGAGGAACAGACCACAAAGUGCCACAAGCUGCUAUAGUUAGCAGACACAGACACACAAACAUGAGGGUGUGCAUGGAUACGCACACGCACGCAGGCUUUUGAACACCUACACAAUCCCACAUGCAUGUCCUGUAAGUGUGUUCAGCUGUGUGCUGGUUCAGUAUAUAUGAGGGAAUCGUUUCUUAUGUAACCAUGCAGUAGAUAAUGGUUUUCAAUGUGACACUAAGGACAGGUCAUUAUUGUGAAGGCAGACUGUAGCAAAACAUUUUGUAACUGAAUAUGAAAUCUAACAUUUCUCAUUGGACGAGUUAAAAUAUUCCCACCCUGUUUCACUCUGUUUUCUUCUGUUCAGUGCCCAGUAAAUACAUACCUGCUAUUAGGUGAUUUUAGCUGGAGCUGAGAUGAUAACUGUGCUGCAAACAAUAGUGAGGAAAACAUAGGGGAUAACUACCUCUACUGGUGUAGGGAUGUCUUCAUAAUGUAUGUCUAUUGAAACCCUGAAUGCUGUUAAUUUGCCAUUUGACAGAAAAUGUACAUUUGUCUGCCCAAUAUGAAUGUCUUUU